rnacentral:rRNA from 1 species
AGCCAGCAGUGGGGACUAUUGCCCAACGGGCGAAAGCAUGAUCCAGCACUGCCGCGUGAGUGAUGAAGGCUUUAGGGUAGUAAAGCUCUCUUUCCCGAGAUGAUAAUGACAGUAUCGGGAGAAUAAGCUCCGGCUAACUCCGUGCCAGCAGCCGCGGUAAUACGGAGGGAGCNAGCGUUGUUCGGAAUCACUGGGCGUAAAGCGCACGCAGGCGGCUUUUUAAGUCAGGGGUGAAAUCCCGGGGCUCAACCCCGGAACUGCCCUUGAAACUGGCAAUCUAGAAUCUUGGAGAGGUCGAGUGGAAUUCCGCGUGUAGAGGUGAAAUUCGUAGAUAUUCGGAAGAACACCAGUGGCGAAGGCGACUCGCCGGACAAGUAUUGACGCUGAGGCACGAAAGCGUGGGGAGCAAACAGGAUUAGAUACCCUGGUAG